AGAGAUGUGUGAUGACGCAUAUCAAUAAGCGGAGGAAAAGAAACUAACAAGGAUUCCCUUAGUAACGGCGAGUGAAGCGGGAAGAGCUCAAAUUUGAAAUCUUCAAGGUUCUACCUUGACGAAUUGUAGUUUAUAGAAGUGUUUUCUGUUAGUGGAGUGGCAAAAGUUCUUUGGAAUAGGACAUCAUAGAGGGUGAGAAUCCCGUAUUUGGUCAUUCCUUCUAGCUUUGUGAUACACUUUCAACGAGUCGGAUUGUUUGGGAAUGCAGUCCAAAAUGGGUGGUAAAUUUCAUCUAAAGCUAAAUAUUGGCGAGAGACCGAUAGCGAACAAGUACCGUGAGGGAAAGAUGAAAAGAACUUUGAAAAGAGAGUUAAACAGUACGUGAAAUUGUCAAAAGGGAAGCGUUUGACACCAGUGUUGUUUUUCCGAAAAUCAAUUACGAAUGUUUUAUUUUUGAGGAGUUAUGACUUCAUCGGCUUGCUUCUCUCUUUAUGAAACUUUCUCUAAUGCACUUUUCGGUUAACAAGUCAACAUCAAUUUCUUUUGUUGUAAAAGGGUAUGAGGAAGGUGGCUUUCUUUUCGGAGAAAGUGUUUAUAGCCUUGUACCUCUGCAAUCGGAGAGAUUGAGGUCUGCAGCGUAGAUCCUUCGGGAUUAGAUACAUUUGUGCUAAGUUAUAGCUUUUCAUAGACAACUUGUUGACUAUGUUUAGUCUUGUAGCUUACUCGCUUAUGCUAUUUUACCUACGCUUAGGAUGUUGACGAUCAGCUGAGCGCG
rnacentral:rRNA from 1 species